UUGAAUCUAAGUUGGUUAUAAAAACUUGAGGUGACAUUUUUGAAAUUAAUAUCAAAUUUUUAUAAAGCAUUAACAACGGUUUGUAUAAAACCACUUUUGAUAUAAAUGUUACUAAAUCGUCUUUGUUCGUAAGCCUAUUACUACGGUUCCUUAAAAACCGCCUUUGUCUCAUAUUUAUAAUUACUUUAUUAAUUUUUGCUUUGUAGUCUUUGGAACUCAUACGCGCAUGCCUUUCCAUUCACUCUCACCCUUCAUCUCGUUGUGACCUCCACACAUCUCAC
rnacentral:lncRNA from 1 species